rnacentral:lncRNA from 1 species
ACCCUUCAUGCUAAAAACUCUCAAUAAAUUAGGUAUUGAUGGGACGUAUUUCAAAAUAAUAAGAGGAAACACUUUUCAACAUGUUUUAUGAGUCUACCGUUAUCCCCAUACCAAAACCAUAAAACAGACAUUACAAGAAAAUGUCCUGUAGACAAAUAUGUAUUUUGAUGAUGAAUUUAGAUUUCAAAAACUUCAGCAAAAUAUUAUCCAAUUAAAUCCUCUCAUGUCUGUGUGUGUGUGUGUGUGCAUGCACGUGUGUUUGUAAAAUAUAUCAUUACUAAUUGGCGUUUAUCUUGGGAGUUCAAGAUGGUUUCCAUAUUCAAUCAACCCAUCAAUGUGGACUAUGGUCACUUGAAAAGACCAGCAAAUCCUCUGCACAAAAGGCCACUAGAAAUUCAUUAAAGCAGCCUUCCAUCAUUCUCGAAAUUGACCAAAGCAUUCAACUACCUGAGAAAUAUUUAUGUUUGGAAAGCUAUUGAAAUGCAAUUAAAAAUAUCAGGAAACCUGUUUUUACCUUUUGUCCUAAUCUUGCUAAAUCCUUCUUAAUUUUAGGAGACACUGCUUCUCCUUCCACUGUUCUUUUACUUUCUCCUUCCCCUUUGUUUUUGCCUCCCCCUUCCUCUCCCUUUUCUACAUUCCUUCUCUCUCCUAAAUGCUGUAUAAAUUUCUACAUAUGUAAUCAUAUUAUUUACAAAUAGGAACAGUUUUACUUAUUUCUUUCCAGUCUGCAUUUAUUUUAUUCUUCCUUUUUUUCCUUACACACUGGAUAGAACUCUAAGUAUUAUGUUGAAAAAGAGUGAUAAAAGCAAACAUCUUUGCUUUAUUCCUGAGCAUACAUGUGGAAAACAUUCAGUGUUUCACAGCUAAAUAUGAUGGAUUUUUUGUAUGCUCUUUAUCAAGAUGAAGGAAUUUUCUGCUAUUUCUGGUUUGCUGAAUUUUUAUCACAAGUAACUGUUGAAUAGUGUCUUUUUCCCCUGCAUUUAUUGAACUGAUCAUGCAUUCUCCUAUUUUAGAAUAUUAAUAUGAUGAACUAUAUUAUUAGAUUUUUUAAAAUAUUGCAACUGUCUUGCAUUUCUGGAAUAAACAUGGCUUGGUCAUGUGUCACUUUUUUACAUAGUGUCGUAUUCAAGUUGUCGAGGAUUUUGCAUCUAGGGUAUAUUUGUAGAUUUGCAUCUAGGUUAUGUUGGUCUAAAGUUUUGUUUGUUUGUUUUCCUUUUCUUUUUUUUUAUCAUCUUUGUCUUCUUCUGUUUAAGUGUCAUGCUUGCUUCAUAAAAUGAAUUGAGAAGCAUUUCUUCCUCUUCUGUUUCUCGAAAAUUGUAGAGAACUCUUGUUUUUUGUUGUUGUUUGUUUGUUGUUUUGUUUUUUCUUAUUUUUAUCCUCAUACUGAGAACCAAACAGUCUGGAGUGUAAAACAUGGUUCCUCAUUCCAGUUAAAUCUAGUAUACAAUGACAACAACCCUCUUGGGUUAAGCAUUGGCCUACAAACAGAAAAAAACCUUCAGGGAGAUAGAUGCUGAUCUAGGCAUUGUGAGAAAAGCUGAAUUCAUUUUUAAUCAUGAAUGGCUUUUAAGGAAAGAAGAUUUAUUAACUAAAAUAAAUAGAUUAGAGGGAAUUCUCACCUAUGAGAGAGGAAGGGAUGGGAUUCAACCUGGAAAAAGUAAUGAAGUUUUAGUGAACUUGGUAAGGUAGACUCAACAAUUAAUGAUGGAUAAUGCUAGGACCCAACACUGGUAAUGAGUUUGUAUUAUGACUCAAUAGCAUCACUUUAUCACUUUAACACAGAUGGAGGCCUAAAUAACCAUAGGGUAAUGGUUCUUCUUAGAUGCAGAAGGACACAUUUAUAUAAUCUUAGGGACCCCAUCUCUGAGGUCACUCAUAAUUUAUAUUAAUUCAUUGUUAUUGCCAUUGCCCCAAGAAUAGAUAAGGAUAAGACAUCCUGUAGUACAGGUAGCAGAGAUAUAAACUAUUCUUAUUCUUGUGUCUUGUCUAUAGGAAGGGAGUGUAUCCUGGUGUAAGACAGCAUAUAGUAGAGACCAUUGUCAAUUAGGGCCUGUGAACUAAGACAGGGUGACUGGCUAAGUCCACAACCCAUUAGAAACCCAGAAAUAAUCAAAUCAUGGUGAGUAGUAAUAACACUUAUUUAUAAUACUAUACGGUAUAAAGACAAGAACCAAUUAUGUUGAGUAGCUGUAACAAAUAGCUCUAUCAUUCGUAAUAACUUUUUCUGUAAUAAAACUGAAUUGUAACAUGAUCAUACUGCAAUAUGACAUUACACUAGCAUUGUUGGUAAGAUUCAACUAUCUUAUGUAGAGAAGUUAUAUAAUGCUUAUAUUGAUAAUCAAAUGUAUUAAGAUAUUGAGUUAAAGCCUCUUCAGAAUGUAAUCUGGGUGAAUAAUAAAUGGCCUGAGAAAACAGAAUUCAGCUAACCAUUAUCUAAUUUCAAUGCUAAAUAGUUCUGCACAGAUUUAUCAAAAAGUAAAAAUAAAAGCAGAUUGAGAGGAGGAAUGAAUAAUUUUGUUUGUACAAAAUAUUAAAGUGUAUGUAAUGGGCUUGUAGGAUGCAUUAGUAAUUUUUAAAAAUCAAUCUUUACCCUACACUGUGUCCAUAAAAUGCUAGGCAUAUUCAUGUUAAUAUUACUGUUGUUACUGUCAUAUAAAUGCCAUAUUCAAUGUAGAUGCUCAGAAAAAUAUGAUUGUUUUGCUACAGGAGAGAUUAGACCAGGGACAAUAAAUAUGGAUUAGGCAAGAAUGUGUUAACUCAGCAGCCCAGGGUUUUUUCAACCCUGCACAUUCAAAGGUAAGGUUUGUUUUUAGGACUAGCUAGCCUCUGAGUUCUGGAAAUAGUCUUACCGUGAAGAGUGUUUUUGUAUAUCUGAGGCCUUGGGUUUAUGGUGAAUGACUGACUUAUAUGCCUGAGGCCCUGAGCCAUGCUGUAUUUAUUUGAACCAUGUGGUAUCAAUUUAACCAGAUACGUUUAUUCUAAGAUAUGAUUUAUGCUGAAUGCCUGGUUUUGUUCUAGAGGGAUCAUGGAAAGGAAGCUGAAUUUGCCAAGUUUUGCCACUUGGGCAUUGCAUGCCUAUGUGAUUAACCACCAAUAAAAACCUGGGACAUCAAAGAAUAAAUAAGCUGCUCUAAUUGCCAAGAAUUCACAUGUGGUUGUAUGCAGCUUUACUGGGAGACUGAAGUGUAUCUGCAUGUGAUUCUGCUGUGAUGGACACUUGAUCUUGAGAUGACGUCAUACUGGAUGAUCCUAGUGCACCCUAAAUCCAAUAAGUGUUCUUAUGAAAGACAGAAGAGGAGAAGAUACAGGAAAUAGAAGAAGGCUACUUGAGGAUGGAAGCAGAGAUUGGAGUUAUGCAGCUACAAACCAAAGAAUGCCUUGAGCCACCAGCAGCUGAAAGAGCUAGUCAGCAAUACAACUGGGAUUUGAUAUCAGAUUCAUACGAUUCCGAAGACCCUGACCACCAAAUGCAAAAGAGAAGGCAGACACCUAGAAUUCCAUCCUAGAAUUAAGACGUGACAAUAAACUUUGAUUUUGUGAGUGCAUUGUACGCUGACCUAAUAGAAGAUGAAAAGUGGAAAAAUUUGCACAAUGAGUUCAAGAACUCUGAGGAAAAGUAUUCAAACAGUCUAGUUAAGAAAACCUUAUUAAGUGGAAAUUUCAUACCAAACAAGGCUGCACAGCUUGGAAAAGCCCUGCACUUAAAAUUAACUUCAGCCGGUGAUGUGCUGAGGCUCUUGACUCAAGUACAGGCACACGGGCUGGCUAUGAUUUGGAGAAACAUGGUAAGUCAUAUGAAUGUUAGUUGAUAACUAAUUUUAUUGUUCAUGUGCGGAGGACAUAGGGUCAAAUGUGCCCCAAGAAGACCUCGAGAAAAUAUAUGUGGCUCUGGAUACAGACCUCAUGUGACAAAAGGAAGCAAUAACCAGGAAAGACUGAUUCUCUCUGCUUAUCAUUUAGAACAAUCAAAAUAAGUUUGAAAUGAAAAAAACUCCAGGGGUUUUGAAAUUAUUAAACUGGCAUGUACAUACUAAAAGGGAGCCAAUAAGGAAUUUACUACUAAUAGGGCAUGGGGGAAAGCAGAUCCAAAGUUCUAAUUAAUGUUUUAAAAUGAUGGUAUCCAUUUGCCAGUUUUAAGAUAAGUCCAUACUGCUGAAAAUUGCUCUAUGUUUCUUACCACAUUUAUCUAUGUCAGCAUUUAUUUUACUUCUAAAUUUAAUUACAAUUUUUAAAUUCCAUUAUACAAGUUAUCUCACAUUUAACUAUUUGUUACCUUUCCUUCUCAUCUUACAAUAUUACUUCUCUACCUGUCAAACUAUAUACAGUCCAGUUCCUAUUCCAAUUAUGGCUAUAAUUGCAGUACAAUUAAUCAAUUAAUUAACAAAGCAUAGCAAAAAAUCAAAAGAACUUUAAAAAAUUAUGUAUAAUUGUGAUCAAUGUGGAUGUUUUUAAAUAUGUUCAACUAUUUAUACUAUUUUCCUUCUCAAAGAAUCAUCAGAAUGCUGAACACAUAAAAUAAACAUUGGAUAAAUUAAAAAUAAUUUUUCAUUCUAAACAAUCUAAAGUAAUUUAAGUAUAGUUCCUAUUUAGACUUAACCAUAACACUUUGAAAAACUUGAAAGAAUUCACUGAUUUUUUAUAAAAUUUAAAAUUAAUACAUAUUACACAAUUUGUAAUAUAGAUUUUUACUUUGAACAUGAGGGCAUUUUAAAUGGAGCUUCUUUAAAAUAUAAUUCACAUAUAAAAAUUUCAGAAAAUUUUAAGGACCUUUUUCUUUUUACUAAUGCUUUGAUUAGGAUUUCAGUCUGCAUACAAAUUUGUCAAGAUUUUAGCUGAUACUCUUUCAGGAAACUAUUUUAAUAGAUCAUUACCUUUCCUUAUCUCUCAAUGUCAUUAGAUAUGUACAUUUUAAUCUUAAUUUCUAGGACAAAUAUACAUAUCUUUUUCUGAUUAUGUGCCUCUAAGUUUGAUAAAAAGUUCUUGAUGCAACCAGUGGACUCAACACUUCUCCUUACUUUGCAUUUAUAAUAAUAGGCUUAUAGCAGUUUUUUUCUCCAAAUUAAAGUAUAAAUA